CUCUGGUGUCACUGUCAGUCCAGCUGCUGUCACUUCCACCAAGAGGAGCAGCCCCCUACUUGUUGGCAAUGUCCUUUGUGUGAUUGCACAGUGACCUGAUCCAGCUGAGAGCCAGGAAAAACAAAUAAAAAGUGCAGGGGGGCAGGGGGAAGUUAGUUUUCAAUGGGAUCAGUUCCUUGCUCCAAACACUUGCACAAGCGAAACAGAAGACUUGGCCUGGGCACAAGAAGAAACAGCGUGGGCACAGAGGGAACACAGUGUCCACAUCAGCUAAAACUGAUACUGGUAUCAUGUAUGUCGAAAAAUACCCUGAGGGCUCUUGAUAUGAAAGUUGUUGAGACAUAAUGUUCCACACCUAGGCACUUCUGAAUUUACCUGGGGUGACCACAACUACACUUCAGACUUCCUGCAGACCCAUGGAAAUGGAUCUUUUAAGUCCAUGGUUUGCCCUCGAGAUUUUUGUCACGUGUUGAAGCCUUGACCAUCCAAAGAGUAUAAACCUAAAUUUUACAUGCAGUGCAUAUGGUAGAAGGCUGCUUUCAACUACUGCUUUUUGCUGGAUAGAAAAUCACCACAGCUCAGCUUGGGGCCUUGCAGGGGAACAUCAACACAAGGGUUCCUUGGCUUCAGCCUCUGUGUGCCUUUGGAUGGGAACACCAGCCCUUCCUGCAGGUGUGACAGGAUAUUUGGAAAGACAGAUGUGAAGGCAUGGAGAAGUGUGGCUGGAUCAGAAUUCAGCAAAGACCACUUGGAACAGUUGCAGUGCCUUGACCCAGUGAGAUAGAUCUCUGUAGUUCAUUUGGAUGUGUGGGGAGGGAAGUUAAGCUUGAAACUUAAACCUGGAGCUGUGUGCAAGUAAGCAAGGGGUGCUUUUCAAGGGUGGAGAAACCAAUUUGAAAGGUUAUGUUAUGAAAAUAUAGGUGUCAAGUGCUGUAUUUGCCACUCCUGGUCAAGGCUAAAUGCAUUUUACAUUGUUCUUAAAAUUGAGGCAUUUGAUUUGACAUGGUUUAAUGGAUUUGUGUGUCCUCAGUCUGCCAUGAACUGACUUAAAACCAGGACAAUUCCGACGUAUAAACAAGACAUAAAAAUAAAGGAAAAUAAAAAAAUCUUAAUAGGUUGUGUCUCUUCUUCAUCUUUAGUUAGUCAGAAAUUAUUUCCUCUGUGCAGUAGGUGUGGUCUGUUACAGAACUACAGUGCAGCAGAAAAUCUUUUUCAAAUAUGAAGCAUGAAGGGAGGGGGGGGACAUACUGUCCUGAGUAUUACAUGCUGACAAACACAUCAUUUGUUCCAACUUCUGGAAUCAAUUAAAACUAUGGAAAAUAAUCUGUGUGCUCAUAUAAAGAAAGAAACAGUAUGCAAAGCAAAGGCAUGCUUUGGAAACUUUUGGAAGUUGAAGUCAGACUUGCAAUUUCUGAAGCCCUGAUUCAUGGUUCCUGAAUGUGUAGAAUUGCUGAUUUCAGAGAUUUGACCCGUGAAGCAUGAAAGGCAAGUCAUCUCCUGACUCUCUGAUGAGGCAUGUCUUGCUUGUGCCUCAUAGAAGCACAAGAAGCCCAGAAGCUCCAUGUUCCCAACGUAUGGGGAGGGGAGAGGUGUCCGCAUUUUGUCAAUUCUUUUUUCAACAUCUCAAAAGCUGCCAAGGCCCUGAUUUCUACCUUACUUCUUCCUCAAUACCCAUCUUCCAUGUAGACCUUGCAGGAACGAGUCAGUCUAUGAGUCAGCUGCAAAUAUCACCAAGCUCUUCCACAUCCUUGCCGAUGUCCAGGCUGUUCCCAAACACUAGUCAUCAAAGGAAGUCUUUAUUUCCACAGCAGUUAAAUGACUAACCCAAGAUCAAACAGUGGGUCAGUAGCAGAGGCGGGAACUGAAAUCAGGUCUUCUGACUCAAGUUUCUCUUGGCUGUAGCCUCUGGGUUACACAGCAGAAUUCAUUUGUGCUGUAAGUUUCAGCAGUUGCUGAGACAAAACUUCAUUUUCUUUCCCUGAGAUAUCGUAUCUGUGUCAUCCUGUUCUCUGCCCACUAGGAUGCAGCUUCUUAGCAUCAGACUUUGAAAAGGGAGGCAAG